rnacentral:pre_miRNA from 1 species
CUUGCAGAGAUUGUUGGCAUUCUGUCCACCUCCUCCCUCUCUCUAAAAAAUGAGAGUUUUUCGAUUUUAAUGCAUCGUGAGGAGGUGGGCAUCCUGCCAACCACACUCUGUGGG